rnacentral:lncRNA from 1 species
UGGGCAAGUCACCAGCUACCUUCUGCCUCUCGUUUUGAUCAACUUUGAGUUUUGACAGUGUUUCACUUAACUUCAUUUUCAGCUCUCUGACUUCUGAAACAUAAGUAGAUCGCUCUAUUUCUGCCUUUUCUAGUUCACUUUCCAAAUGUUCUCUCUCUUUUUUAAGAGUUUCAACCUCUUUGAUCUCUUCUUUUAACCUCUCUACCUCGUGCUCCAAAGAGGCGACCGAUGAGCGCAUCUGUUUGAGUUCCUUCUGUGAUUCUUCAACUUUUAUCUUCCAUUUGCUUUCUUCCUCUUCCACGCUCCUCUGUAGCCUCUGUAAAAUCCCCUCCGUCUCCGCCAGAACUGAUUUGUAUUUCUCACAUUCCAGUUGCAACAGUAUGUGCAGCUCCUCAGCCUCCUUCAACUUCUGCUCCAUAACCUUGAUAUCUUCAGAUCCUGAAGCCCCUCUCAAAUACUCUUUAGCCAUCUUUUCAAAUCCACAUAUCCAUUCGCUAUG